ensembl:antisense Atcayos ataxia, cerebellar, Cayman type, opposite strand
GGCUCCUUCAACCCCUGAGAUCUUAAACAAAAUCUCUGGCUUUUCUUCUGACCUGGGAAGGAGGAACUCCGGCUGUGGUGGCCGUGUGCUGUGAACAGAAAGAACCCAGUGACAAGGGGGGAGGGGGGAGGCAGCUGACACUGUGGUUCUGGGAACAAACUGGCCUCUUCAGCCUGGGUUCAUGUUAGAAUUUUGUUCCCUCUGGCAUGUUGGAAGGAGAAGAUGGCCCAGCGUGGGACAAAUAUGAUCCAUAAUGCAAGGAAUGAGGAAACAUGUAGCCCAGGCUAGCCUGUAACUCACUAUGUAGUAACUCCUGGUCCUCCUCCCUCCUCGUGCCAAGUGCUGGUACACCAGGCAUGUGCUGCCACACUGGGUUACAUGGCUCUGGGGACGAGGCCCAGUGAGGCCAACAGUCUACCAACUGAGCUAACUGCCAGCUGCGCCCUCCCAAUCCCAAGCCUGGAAGAUGCGGGUAGCACGGGGCGAGAUUUCUGACCUACAACACCUCCCAUGCCAGCACUGGAGACUGAGGCAUGGAUUCUGAGGCCAGCCUGGGCUACCAAAGAAGAUCUUGUUUCAAAAAGAAAAAGAGAAAAGAAAAAAGAAAAUUAAAAUGGAGUAACCCUCAAGUGCUCAGAGAGCGGCAGGGGGCCUACUGGGCUCCGCCCACUGCUACAAUGUUUCCCCAUGAGAUCACUAGGUCAUUACCCAGUUGGGAAGAGGAGUAUAGCUGACACCAGGCCAGCAGUUUAAACUGGAUACAGGAGGACUCACAUGCAAGAUCCACUUCCAGAAGGUCCCAAGGUACCUCGCACCCUUGUCCCCAUCCAGGUGAGUGUGGAAGGGGGUUAGUGUGGGAUGGGAGCAGAGCAUCUUAGUGCAUUAUGGAAAGCUCUGAAGUGUGGGGUCCAGUGACCGCUCUGCUGCCCACAGCCGUAGGCGAGGACAGAUAAGGUGGGGACAGGGGGACAGGCCAGUGAGAGAAACAAGGGAGACCAGCCCACAAGGGCCUCAUACCUGGUUCUUCCAAGCAUGGCAGUCCCAUGGUAUGUGGCUGUGUGGCCAAGCCAGUGCAGACUUAGGGGUAACCUGAGACCUGAGCAUGGCUGGCAUUGUUGUAUGAAUGUGAAUUCUGGGGUCGCCAUGCUUGUGCUCUGAGCUGAGUAAGGCUCUCAACAUAAAUGAGGGAGGUGGGGCCCAGCAAGAUGGCUCAGCAGGUAAAGGUGCUUGCAGCCAAGUCUUGAUGAAUAAAAUUCAAUUCCCAUUUUUUUGUUUGUUUGUUUUGUUUUUUCAAGACAGGAUUUCUCUGUGUAGUCCUGACUGUCCUGGAACUCACUCUGUAGACCAGGCUGGCCUCAAACUCAGAAAUCCACCUGCCUCUGCCUCCCGAGUGCUGGGAUUAAAGGCGUGCGCCAUUAAAAGUGCUGAAGAUUGAGUUCAUGGACCAACUACAUGUCAGAAAAUGUUUCUACAAGCAAGCCACACUCCCAUGAUGAAUACAAGGUUGUCAGAGUCCUGUAGCUUGAUAUGGAAAUUGGGGUCUGGUUUUGCAUGUGUAGCACCAAGGACUAGAAAGACUGGGAUUUGAACCCAGGGCUGACUCUAGAGACCUCGUCUGAGAGUCCGGUCUUUGUGUAUGUAUGGGGGUGCAUAUGUAACCCUGCCUAUGUGAGAGGUCAUAGGACAACUUGUGUGUGAGUCACGUUUCCUUCCACCACAUGGGUCGUAGAGAUCCAGUUCGGGUUGUCAGGCUGGGGAGCAAAAUCCGAGCUUGCUGGUGCAGGCUGGAUGGCCUGUGAAUCCCAAGGUCUGGUCUCUAUCUCCCUAGGGGUUUUACAGAUUGGAACAGCUUUGCCAGGCAUGUCACAUGGGUGCUGGGAUUCGAACUUGGGUCUUACACUUGCCUGCCAGCACUACCCAUCCCCCCGUCAGCUGUGUUUAUGUCCAAAGGUGGAGUUGAGCUGGUGAGUCUCCAGACCCCUGGCCCUGUCAGGAGGCUGCGCACACUCACCUCUCCCUCUUGGCUCGGAGUCUCUGCUCUUCAUAUCUGAGUAAAGCAAGGCAGGUUCAGUGAGUGAGAUGCGGCAAGGGUGGGACCCUGCCCCAAGCUGUCAGGGCCACAGAGGCCAGGCAAAGGGGACUGGGGAUACGGAUGGUGACUGAGCUUCAGUGUGGGGUUGGCUGAACUGCGUGAUGAGAUGAGGUUUCGGUGGUCAGUUUUCUGUAAUAUGUAACUUUUAAUUUGAUUUAUUUAAGGCUUAUUUAACUAUAUUGGGUGUGCUUAGAGUGCAGUUCCCACAGUGGCCAGGAGGGGCAUCAGGUGCCCGGGAACUGGAGUUCCAGGUGUUGUGAGCCACUAUGUGGAUGCUGGGAACCCAACCCCUGUCCUCUGAAGGAGGAGCGGGUGUGAUAAUCACUGAGCUGUCAUUUCCCGACAUAGUCACCUCCAAACUCAGGGACGCUAAGGCCGGAGGGACACUUACUGCAGGACACAGUCUGGCAGCUGCACAUGUUCCAUGGGAAUGAGUCGCUCCAGCUCCUCCAGGCUGUGCACGUACUGGAUUUUACUGAUGAACUUGACACUGAUGGGAGACAAGAGGGUAGACAAGGGGUCACCAGACAGAGGCAGAUUCUGUCCCACCCAGCCUGCCAAGUUGCCCAUGCUGGCCUCGAACCCACGAUCCUCUUGUCUCAACUUCCUCCCCAGACUUUUCUCAUGGGUUGUCCCAGGGGCCCGUGUGGACUGUGAAGAACAACAAACACGUCAGAUGUGGGUAUUUUUAGAAAAAAAAUUUUACAUUUAUUCAUGGUGUGUGCAUAAAUAAAAGUCAAGAGAGCAGC